GGAUGGAUAGCCAAAAGGAUAAGGCGCGUGACUGAAAAUCAUGAAUGUGUUGGGUUCAAUUCCCAAUUCCAUCCGCGA
rnacentral:tRNA from 7 species